rnacentral:rRNA from 1 species
AGCAGCCGCGGUAAUUCCAGCUCCAAUAGCGUAUAUUAAAGUUGCUGCAGUUAAAAAGCUCGUAGUUGAAUUUCGGGACCAUCAUGUCGGUCGUGCCUCGGUACGUACUGGCAUUGUUGGUUUCUCCCUUCUGACGAACCAUGAUGUCAUUUAUUUGGUGUUGUGGGGAAUCAGGACUGUUACUUUGAAAAAAUUAGAGUGUUUAAAGCAGGCUCACGCUUGAGUACAUUAGCAUGGAAUAAUGAAAUAGGACGUUUGAUUCUAUUUUGUUGGUUUCUAGGAUCGACGUAAUGAUUAAUAGGGAUAGUUGGGGGCAUUAGUAUUCAAUUGUCAGAGGUGAAAUUCUUGGAUUUAUUGAAGACUAACUACUGCGAAAGCAUUUGCCAAGGAUGUUUUCAUUAAUCAAGAACGAAAGUUAGGGGAUCGAAGACGAUCGAGAUACCGUCGUAGUCUUAACCAUAAACUAUGCCGACGUAGGGAUCGGAUGAUAGUUUUAAUUUUUAAUGACUCUAGUUCGGCC